rnacentral:rRNA from 1 species
AUUGAACGCUGGCGGCAGGCUUAACACAUGCAAGUCGAGCGAGCGGCGGACGGGUGAGUAAUGUCUGGAAAACUGCCUGAUGGAGGGGGAUAACUACUGGAAACGGUAGCUAAUACCGCAUACCAUCAGAUGUGCCCAGAUGGGAUUAGCAAGUAGGUGGGGUAAUGGCUCACCUAGGCGCCGCGCCCUAGCUGGUCUGAGAGUAUGACAAGCACAACUGGAAAUGAGACACGGUCCAGACUUCUACGGGAGGCAGCAGUGGGUAAUAUUGAACAAGGGGCGCAAGCAUGAUGCAGCCAUGCCGAGUGUGUGAAGAAGGCCUUCGGGUUGUAAAGCACUUUCAGCGAGGAGGCGUUACUCGCAGAAGAAGCACCGGCUAACUCCGUGCCAGCCGCCGCGGUAAUAC